CCCCUCGCUCCCGCACAGCCAAUGAGCGCCGGGAGGGUGUUGCCGCGCUCUGUGCCUGCGCGAGGUGGAGGGCGGGGCUGCGGCUGGCCCCGUCCUUCUCCCCUCAGUAGCGCCCGGCUCGCGGGGUGGGAGGUGACGGGCGGUCCCGGGCCGGUGCUCCUGCGGGGCCCCUUCGCUGCCCGUGAGGUGACGGGCAGUCCCGGGCCGGUGCCCCCGUGGGACCCUCUCGCUGCCCGUGAGGUGACGGGCGGUCCCGGGCUGGUGCCCCCGUGGGUCCCCUCACGCUGCCCGUGAGGUGAUGGGCAGUCCCGGGCCGGUCCAGCUGCCGCCUCAGCCCGGCCCCGCGCCUGGAGCGGCCGGGACGAGCCUCCCCGGCCGCCGAGUCCCGUCUCUCGUUAAGGCGAAGAGCCGCCAACCCGCGCUCCUGUGUUCAGGCUGAUGUCAGGACAAGAUGUUCUUUAAAGGUGGAAGUCAUUACGAGGGCAAGUUUGUCAAGGGACAAAUUAUGGAGAAUGGAUCUCAAUACGGGGUAUCAACAGGGGCAGUGGAGAAGUGACGUAUUCGGUGAACGGGGCGCUGUGGUGAAUUGUUCUGGUGACAUCUGUGAUGGACUGUGGAUCAAUGGCUACCCUGCUGAAAUGAAGCAGAAAGCUGAGCGGUGGGAUUUCCGCUGGGAAAGCUGAGCAGCUGAGUCUUGCAGGAGCCAGUGGCAGCGGCAGAUCGCACGUGACAUCCAAAGAAUACCAACUACAAAAGGAUCAGCACUCUGUAUAGAAUUCUAAGACAUUACAAGGCCACUAUGGUACUUGUGGUCCGUGAAGUGACCAUGCCCCCUUUCUUGGGCCAGGCUCCCACAUCUGCCUUCAAACUCUCGUAUCUUUCCAGAGAAAACUGAAACCAAGAACAAAGAUUCUUUCACAGUCACCAGCGAGUAAAAAGGAUCAAACCCCCCAGCCAGGGCUCUUGUCACUGAAAUCAAUGGAAUGCUUCCCACUGAAUGCAGUGGAAGUUGGAUUCAGUCUUUGCAUCCCAGCCACCCUUGUAAGGGUUUUCCUGCAGGGUCAGGGUUUUGAAAAUUAUAAUGAUCUAAAGAAUGGACAGAGAUCCAUGUCAUGAUUGCCUUCUUACUACUAACGUUUUAGAAGAAAGCAACAUAGUCUCUGCAGAGAUUUGAGAUGCAGAUUAAAAAUGUUUCAGUUCUAUUCUUCAGUAUAUGUUUGGAAUUAGAAAAGCAAAACUCUAACAAAAACCUGAGGUUGAAACAACACAAUAGGAGAAAACAGAAAAAUAGCUGAAGAUGAAUGUCCAGGACUGGAGCUGGUUCUGUUGGCGUAGUUGAGCUGACUUUAGUAGAGAUCAGGGUAUAACAUGAGCUUCAAAAUACAAACCUCUAUUUAUUAGGGUUCCUAGUACAGAUAACCACCACUGUCCUUCCUUUUCUGCUUCUAUGAAGAAAAUGAAGAGACCAAUAUGUAACACAAGAGCAAUAAAUAAUGUUCCAUCAUGAUCAACAAUGAGGAAUUUGUGCUUGGAAACCAGGAAACAAAUUGUUCCAGAGUCAUGAUGUGGCCCUGGUUAGUGCUUUUCUGUGUCUUGGUGGGAGCACGCGGGUGCCGUGGUUGCCAUGGUAAGGUACGAGUUUUGUGAUGGAUGCUGUAAAUAGUCAAAUCAUUGGCCAAAACCGAAGUGAAGAUUCUGCUCUGGUUGUUUGUUGUGAGUUUUGAUCAUGGUCACAAAGGUUUAUGUGAUUAUUUACAUGGUAAAUUAAAAGAGCAUAAAGACAACAUCGUUGUGUUUCAGUGAUGGGGGUAUCUGCCGCAUAUGGAGUUGUUCUCUUGUAAAUCAUGAGUACUUCUGAACUUGUAAUUUUAAGUGACUGUGAAUGAGAUCUUGGCAUUGUCUUUCCAGCACCCUGUCUCACAGACAUGCCAUGCUGAAAAUCUGCCUGUAGCAAGAGAGGAAUUUUUACACUUCAUUAUAACAUUGAAUAGUUUAUUAACUGAGACAAUAAGGUGGAUGGACAGAGAGAUUCUUUAUGGAAGUAGGCAUGUAGAUCUGACCUUGUUAGCAGCUUUGCAAUUGUAUGCUGUGGCAAUAGUGUACCCAAGAUAAUGACCCCCAGGCAGUGAUGUGUCUCGUUUUUCUCUUUGGGGCUGUGUAUACCAAUGAGGUAAAUGACUUUGUGUUUGUCAAAGUAUUUGGUAUUGUUUCCCACACUACGUUCAGAUUAUUGCUUUACUAAUUUCCUUGGCUUCCUUUCAAUUUAUUUCAAAACAAACCAACAUCAAGUAGCAACACAGAAAAUGAAUUGACAUUUUUCAACUAUAUGGACUUAUCCUGAAAAAGCUGAAAGCACGGAAAACAAUUGCAACCAGAGUGGACACAUCUGUUGCAGAAACUGAGCGGAUUGUUCGUGGACUGGCAGUUGCAGGAGUGCUCGGCAGGGUGACACGAUGCCUGCUCUCGGGUGGUGCUGGGGUGACAGCUCUGGACACUGCUUCGUGAGGUAUUUCAGGAGCAGAAGCAGAAUAAACUCGUCACUUCCACUCUGGGAAGUUCACUUUGCUGCUGCGGCCGCCAGCCGGCUCACCAGUGCGGUGUGGUAUAGGUACCUUGGGAAUUAGCAGCUGGGUUGUGUUUUCCAAAUCAUUGUGAACAAUCCUCCGAGUAUCCAGCAGAAGCCGAUCAACUUCAUUUGUCGCUGAAUCUCUGUGGUAAGUAGCAGCAACACCCGUUGUACAAUUCUCCUGGUCUUUAGGUUGGUGGGAUCCAAUUCAACCUUCUGUGUCCUUCACUGAGCGGUGGUGGCGGCGGGUCCCCUUUGGAAGCAGGGGGAGCAUCACAGAGGAAUUACGCUCUUAGGAGCUUCAUGGUCUGGAACCAUCAUCCUUCUGCUGCAGUUACUACUCUGGUCCAUGCCCCCCUUUUCUGUCAUACAGAAACAGGCUGUAGCUGAAGGCUUUCUGGUUUAGCAUGAGAUUUAUGUGCCUCUCAAUAUUAAGCUAGGGACUGAAGAAUUGGGAAAUGUUACAACUGUGGUGCUUGUAUUUUGAGAAAUGCAGUGAAAGCUUUAUCCAUGACACUUCAAAUAUUGCCGUUGUUAAUGUGCUCUGAGGGAGAGCUGAUGCAGAGUUCCUUGGGUGUACAGCAGGAGAAAUUCUGUCUGCUUUUCAUUCUUUGCAGACAGGACAAGGAGUUGCUUUAAAAAAUGAGCUAACAGCCUAUCUGGAAUAUAGUUUUCAAAAGUUUGGAGUGUUUCCCUUAGUAUGUAAGUACCAAGAAAUAUGUCAUAAAAGCCAGUUGGCCUCACAAACUUUGAAUCUAAUACCAGUUAAUUGUAUCAAGUUGCAGUUGUUCUGAUGUUUUCUGUGCAAGGGGUCAGAGUUCCAGCAAACAUGUUUCUGGAGCUGUUGGCAGCUGAAAGAGGAAGGUUGCUUUAUUGCUCUUUCAUAACUGUUCUGAUGUCCAUAGCCAAGAAAGCACCAUUAGUUUUUAUUACUUUUAACUUUAAAAAUGCUUUAGAAAAUACAUUACACAAGGACACCUGCAGGAGGAGAAAAGUUCCGAAAUUUUGGAAACUGAUUCUGCUUUGGAAAGAGACAUUUGCCUUGAUAUGCUAAAGAAAACAUGAUUUCAGAACAUUUAUUUGUGGCUUUGUAGCAGUGACAAGCUUAAGUCAUCUUUCUGCUUAAUAUCAUCUGGUCACAUCUUCACUGGGCUUUUAAAUGAAGACCAGACUUUGCUUUCAUUGCAUCUUCAUGCCCAUCUCUGGCUUUUAAGAAGUAUUAUUAACCCAAAUUUGAUACACGCCCUCAAUUCCUAAUACACAUGCAAUAUUUUCCCCUUGAAUUGUAUCCAUAUUACUCUGUAAUGCAAAUAUUAGUAAUAACAAUAAGAGCAGAUGGCUUUUUUUGUUGAAUAAAUUAUUUGGGCUUUAGGACCAAGCCUGCACUUUCUGGUUUUGGUAACUGGCUGAGGAAGUAAACAGCAGCUGAGAAUUUCUGCAGGUUAGCUGAUAAUGCAGAUCAGAAAGGACACAAAGAGCUGAUGGGGUUAAAGUGGAAAUGUUGUCCUGGGGAAGGCGAACAGCCCAGCGUGAGCAGGAGGAGCGUUUGGCUGCGGCCCAGCGGAGGGGACAAGGAGGGGACAGGGCUCUGCUGGGUUUGCUGCCCGGGCUGGGGUCACCUCACAUGCCUUCUCUCUUCCACUUUCCUUUUGUCUUGAAAUUGCUUUCAGUUAACAUCUGGAACUUUUUUUUGUAAUCAGCAGCAUUUCCUUAGCCAGAGCAGAGCAUUUUGUGAUCGGGGAAUUCCUACGGUUUGAGAUCAGCCAGAAAAAAGAGGGAGGUUUUGGCUUCACUUCUCUUUUUCCUAUUAUGUGAAGUGUGUCUGAAGUCUCCGUAAUGCCUCAUCUUAGUCCUCUGAAAAAUUUAAAGUUCCUUAGAGGAAUAGAGCAAGUGCAAGGUUUUACUAGGAACCAUGUUUGUCUUUGGGACUCUAAAAGCUAUUGCACCGGUCAGUGCUGGGGACACAGUGAUCGAGUUUAGAACCUGCAGCAGCUCAGCCUGUCCCAAACUCUACUCACGAUCACAACUCCUCCAGGAACGUGUGUGAGCGGGAUGCGGGGAUCAUCCAGCACCAAAGGGAAAGGCAAAUGCUUUUUAACUUAAAACGCAAAUGUUUAAAAUAGAGUGAAGAGUCUGUGGGCUUUGGAAUUCCAUGGGAAUGUAGGAAAUGGAAUAUACUUGUUACAUUUGGAGUUGAACACAGAGCUGGAAACCCAGACUUCUAAUGCUGUAGCUUCUUUAAUAACAUCAAGUGGUGCUGAAUGUUUUGCUCUUUGUUGCACGCAGAAGGAAGCCUUUCCUUGCUUCGGUUCCCGUGAGUACGACGUACCACAGCAAGAGCGCACAGACUCCGUGUAAUAAUAGUGUCUUGUUCAGUCUAAACAAGCUUUCAGUGCCUUCCCUACGAGACAGAAGCCAGCGUUCCAUUAGCUGUGGUUAUGUAGUUGUUAUUUCCAGGGUGCAACAUACUGUACUAAUUCUUGAUAAGUUGUUUUCAUGCUACAUUUUGGUGCAGUCCUCAAGUGCAUAUUCUUGCCACACAGAAUUUUUGCUGCCCCAGACUCAGCUUUGCGGAAUUUUGCCUUCUUGGUGGUUGGCAUGUAAAGUUGUUGGAAUGUAGAUAGCACAAAACUAAUAAUCUUAACGUUGAAACAAUCUUAACAUUUCUUUCCAAGUGCUUUUUAGACUCAGUUCCUCCUUGGCUUUUCUUCAUUGUGAAAAGCUGGUUUUGGUUUCUUGGCCUGAUUUUUCCCUCACAUAGUUAAUCUUCCUCUGGCUUCUGAUAAGGUGCCAAAUGUUUAAAAUCUGCUUUAGUGUUCCCUUGUAAAAGAGGUUGCAUUUACCAGUUUGUCACUAAGCUACUUCUCAAUUUUCAGUGUUUACAAGAUCUUUCUAGCAAAUAAACGAACAAACAAAACCUCAA